GUCGUUCUUCCCCAAAGACAGUACUUUACAAUCCGAAGACCUUCAUCAUACACGCGGCGUUGCUCCGUCAGACUUUCGUCCAUUGCGGAAGAUUCCCCACUGCUGCCUCCCGUAG
rnacentral:rRNA from 1 species